AUUGAACGCUGGCGGCAGGCCUAACACAUGCAAGUCGAGCGGCAGCGGAAAGUAGCUUGCUACUUUGCCGGCGAGCGGCGGACGGGUGAGUAAUGUCUGGGAAACUGCCUGAUGGAGGGGGAUAACUACUGGAAACGGUAGCUAAUACCGCAUCACGUCGCAAGACCAAAGAGGGGGACCUUCGGGCCCCUUGCCAUCAGAUGUGCCCAGAUGGGAUUAGCUAGUAGGUGGGGUAAUGGCUCACCUAGGCGACGAUCCCUAGCUGGUCUGAGAGGAUGACCAGCCACACUGGAACUGAGACACGGUCCAGACUCCUACGGGAGGCAGCAGUGGGGAAUAUUGCACAAUGGGCGCAAGCCUGAUGCAGCCAUGCCGCGUGUAUGAAGAAGGCCUUCGGGUUGUAAAGUACUUUCAGCGGGGAGGAAGGUGUUGAGGUUAAUAACCUCAGCGAUUGACGUUACCCGCAGAAGAAGCACCGGCUAACUCCGUGCCAGCCGCCGCGGUAA
rnacentral:rRNA from 1 species